rnacentral:pre_miRNA from 14 species
GGUUGGAUUACUGGGCGAAUACUCCUAUGGCAGAUCGCAUUGGCUAGAUAUGCAAGUAAAAUGCUUCUCUGCCAAAGGAGAUUUGCCCCGCAAUUCAUCC